UUCCUACGGGGGGCAGCAGUGGGGAAUUUUGGACAAUGGGCGCAAGCCUGAUCCAGCUAUUCCGCGUGUGGGAAGACGGCCUUCGGGUUGUAAACCACUUUUGUAGAGAACGAAAAGUCUGUCGAUAAUACCGAUAGAUGAUGACGGUACUCUAAGAAUAAGCACCGGCUAACUACGUGCCAGCAGCCGCGGUAAUACGUAGGGUGCGAGCGUUAAUCGGAUUUAUUGGGUUUAAAGGGUGCGUAGGCGGAAUGCCAAGUCAGCGGUAAAAUCGCGGGGCUCAACCUCGCUCCGCCGUUGAAACU
rnacentral:rRNA from 1 species